ACUGGGCUGUGAAUACUGCAACUGUGCGCUGACAUUCUCUGUGGAGUCAGAUCACAAAGCUGCAUCCUGAGCCCCGAGGAGCAGAUGAAAAAGUGUCUAGAUCCGCACUUCAGUCGGCUGGGCGCUGGAAGAUGGGAUGGAUACAGAUGGGUGCCCACUGGUUGACGUGAACGUGCUGGGCCAAAUCGCCUGCUUCCCUGCUGUGACUCCAGCUUCCAAGGUCAGCAAUCGCUGCUCAUCCCCAAGUGCCCAGGGGGAGUUGCCUACCAGCGUGAGAAACUGAGAACAGGGGCACUCUGCAGAGUCCACAAGGAUCGGCAAACAGCCUGAGACAACACCAGCCUAUGUCUAGCAGUCACUCUGAAGGAGCAACAGGCAAAAACUUUCAUCAGGACCAAAACAUCAACCGUACAUUUCCCGCUGUUGAUGCUGCCUGACCUGCUGAGUUCCUCCAGCCUUUUGUGCAUUGCUUCAGAUUUCACUCGUGUCUCAAGUUUUUCGAAGGAGUCAGGUUUCACUUCAACAAGUGGGAGGGCUCAGUGUAAUCCAGCAUCGAGGAUACCUUCAAAAAGCGAUGCCUUGAACGGGCAGCAUCCAUCAUUAAGGACCCCCAUCUCCCAGGACAAGCCCUCUUCUCAUUGCUACCAUCAGAGAGGAGGUACAGGAGCCUGAAGACACACACUCAACUUUUCAGGAACAGCUUCUUCCCCUCUGCCAUCAGAUUUCUGAAUGGACAUUGAACCCAUGAACACUACUUCAGCAUUUUUACCUCUUUUUGUACUACUUUUAAUAGAUUUUUAUUAGUAUGUAUUUCAUCGUACUGCUGCUGCAAAACAACAAGUUUCAUGACAUAUGCCGGUGAUAUUAACCCUGAUUCUGACUCUGCAUCUCUGGCCUGAAAUACCAUUCGAUCUGCUACACUGUACAAGUUGAACUGAAGCUGGAAGGGUUUCUGAUCUCAGUCCAUUCAUGAAGCUGGAGGCAGCCACAGCUGUGGUACACAUUUGCCAGUGGAUGGACAUUUAGAAUCUCCCCUGCCCAGAAAACUGACUUGCAUAAAUCAAAUUCUAAGUAUAGGAGAUGGGAUGUUAUGUUGAAGUUGUAUAAUACGUUGCUGGGGCCUCAUUUGGAGUAUUGUGUGCAGUUCUGGUCACAAGAAAAAUUUCAAAAAGAUUGAAAGAGUGCAGAGAAAAUUUGCAAGGAUGUUGCUGGGACUUGAGUUAAAGGGAAAGAUUGGCUGGUUAGGAGAAUUAGGGGAUAUUUGGUAGAGAUAUACAAAAUUAUGAGGGGUGAAUGCAAGUAGGCUUUUUCCACUGAGGUUAGGUGAAACUAAAACUAGAGGUCAUAGAUUAAGGGUGAACGGUGAAAUGGUUAAUGGGGACACGAGAGGGAACUUUCUCACUCAGAAUGUGGGUAAGAGUGUGGAACCAGCUGCCAGCAUAAGUGGUGGAUGUGGGUUUGAUUGCAAUGUUUGAGAGAAAUUUGGAUGGGAGGGUUAUGGGGGCUAUGGUUCGAAUGCAGGUCAAUGGGGCUAGGCAGAAUAAUAGUUUGGCAUGGACUAGAUGGGCUGAAGGGCCUGUUUCUGUGCUGUAGAGUUCCAAGACUCUGUGGCUCAAAGAUAACACAAGAAUGAAAGAGAAAGAAGCUGAAUUAGCCACUACAGCACCUCAAGCCUGUUCCACUCUUCAGUGAUCAACAAUGCUGUUCUCCUUCAAGCCUAUAUUCAUGCCUGACGUGCAACCUGCUUUCUUCCCUUGACUGCUCAAGUUCUAUUAGUCGACUCUGAAUUCUCUCAACAACUAAGCAAGCACAUCCUCUCAGAGUGGAGGAUUUCAAAGACACGAUUCUAAGUAAGUGAAUUGUUUCUCUUCUCAAUCCAAACUUUCUGACCCUGAUCCCGGGACCAUGCCUGUCCCUUGUCUCUGGACUCUCAAGUCUGGGGGAGAAAUGCCCAUCACAUCCACCUUGUCAGUUGCUUUCAGAAUGUCGCCUGCUUCAAUGCAGUUAUUUACUAUUCCUUCAGAAAUUUAGUCAGUGUACUUGAUCUCUCCCCUCAUAAGACAAUUCCUGGAAUUAGAAGCAAAUGCAAUCACUUAGGAAUGCUCAACAUGGGCACCAUGGUAGGGUUGCGGCUAGCUUGGAGGACCUAUCACAGCUUGGACUGUCCUCUGUAAGGGGUCUCCGCGAAAAGCAUAGGUUUCCCCUGGGUGCUUCAGUUUCCUCCCGCAGUCGAAAAGACGUGCUGGGUAGGUUAACUGGUCAAUGCAAAUUGUCCCGUGCCUCUCAAAGUCCAAUCCUAUGUCCCCAUCGUGAGAGGUGGAAACAGGCAAGGCUGGCCUACAGUGCUCUGGUGAAGCUGUGGAGGCCAAUCCCCUGUACGGUGGAUAUAAUGGAUUACGGAAAAAAAAUGACAACCUCCAAACAUAACCUUGACUUUGGACAAUGGAAACCGGAGGUCUUUGAUGGCCUUUGCCUCACUGGGAGCUAAGGGCCCAAGAAGGAAGAAGAAAUCGGUCAGGGUUAAACCUGGGUUGAGGGGAUGCCAGGGCAGCACAGCUCAAAGGGCCAGAAGGGCAUAUUCUGUGCGGUAUCUCCAAAAUAAAUUAAUUAAUUAACAAACAGUCCUGUGAAGCAGAUCCAGUGAAGGGAACAUUAUGAAACACUCAGGUGCUGUUCUCCUCUGUAACAUUCAACGUGAAGUAAAUUCACUCAGUAAAAUGAUAGGCCUGUGUGUCUAUGUUUCCUAUCUUGCCUUUAUUGGAAGGAGAAGCACAAUAUCAACAAGCCAAGGUACAAGAUCUUCAAACAAUUUCACAGCUUUAUUCUUUUUAUACGAUCAAAGUUCUCAAAUCUGAGUCUGAUUAUAAGUUUGUAAAAUGCUGUUUACGUUGGAUGAUAUUGCUGUGUCUCCAAGGCAGCUAAUAUUCAACCUCUAGUAAAUUAGUUCAGAGGCUGUUUUAAUUAUUAAUUAACUAGGACAAUAGGCAUUUUUUAAUUUAAAUGUUGAAUUCAUCACACAUUUUCUUUCUGAUGUUUUUUUUCACAUCAUUUUCAAUUCAAUUCCUUCCUUCCCAUAUCUAACAUUUUGUCCUUGCUGAAGGGAAGUGUUUUAGCACUUGCUUGGCAUGGCUUGGGUUAGUGACAGGACAGAGUAACCUAAAAUGCUGAAUAAACUUAACUCUUGGCCCAAUUGUGCUGCACUUUUGAUGGCGGCCAAGAAGCUGCCUACAAUCCUGCAUGUUAAAACUUUGGUCUUCUGACAAAUGCAUUUGGAGGACUGAUGAUCAUUUAAAGGAUCAACAAUAUUUAGACUUGGAUUUUAUCUUCUGGGAUUCUAAACUCAUCGAGGAUUCGUGUUCUCAGUCAGAAACCUGGGCUGCCCUGUUGGAAUAAUUCACCCGUGUGAUGCAUCCUCUGGUGCAGCUGGUUUAAUUGGUAACAAUCUCAAACGAACCAGAAAUUGAGGGUUCGGGUCUAACUCCAGGGAUUUCAGUAGUAAGGCUGCUUUUCUAAAUGUAUUUACUUUUACUUAUUUAGACACACAGUAUGGAACAGAUCCUCACAGCUCAAUGAGCCUCGCUGUCAAUCUACCAGUUUAAACUUGGACUAAUCAUGCGACAAUUUACAAUGACCAAUUAACCUACUAACCACUCGGCCUUUGGACUGUGAGCAUCCUUUGGAGAGGACGUACAAACUCCUUACAGAGGACUCGGGAUUGAGCUCCAGACGCCCACAUCUCGAGCUGUAAUAGCGUCACGCUAACCACUACACUAGCAUGCCAGCAUUCUGCAUGAUGUUUGCCUGCACAUUCCCCUCUCAUUAACAGUUCCACCACAGCACCUUGAGGAGUCACCUUGACAUUUGUCAACCCACUUUUGAAGAUCACUGUUUUUUUUUGAUAAUACCGUACUUAUUAUAAGAUUCGUACUUUUUAAAUAAACUCAUGUAUUUUUCACCAUACAUAGUGUUUCAUCCCCACUCUCUGGCAGAAAGUGGUAUAACAGCUGAACUAAUGGUUUAUCACCUUUUCUCAUUUUUCAUUGGCUAAGUAUUAGCACAUCACCCACGUGAUGCAAUUAUUUUAAUUAUGUAGCCUAUUAACUAGUUUAUUAUCUAAGAAGUUUCUUAUCUAUAAAAGUCAUGGAUUUUUCAGAGGCACCAUCUUUUGCUUUGCUUCUUUAUUCUUUUGUCUUUGAAUUCACCUCUCAGCAUCCUUCCUCAGUUCUUUAUUUAGUUUGCUUAGUAUUUGUAGGUUUAUUUGUACGAUCGUUAGAAUAAAGACUGCUCACAACUUUUUGACUCCUGGAAGAACCAUAAGGAUCAGAAGAUAAACAGAGGUUCAACACUUAGUCCGUUAACUCACCAGCUCAUGGAAACCAUGGAAGAAGAGGAUGUAACUGUUGCUACACACUGCCAUAAAGAGUGCCAGACAUAUUCCACAGAACAUUUAAAACACACUUCGUUUUAAUAUUUCCUCCUGGUUAAAUAUUAGAUAGAGUGCCCUGACGCUGGUUUAAAAAAGGGACUCACUAAUUUUUCACAGAUCUCAGAAGUCAACCCCAAGCCGCAAACAACAGGAAUUCUGCAGAUGCUGGAAAUUCAAGCAACACACAUCAAAGUUGCUGGUGAAUGCAGCAGGCCAGGCAGCAUCUCUAGGAAGAGGUACAGUCGACGUUUCAGGCCG